GUGAGUCAAUUUUAAAAUAACCCAUCAUCUAGCCUUGUCCGAGUGAUAAAGACCUAGAAAUUUCAGCCCAUUUUCAGCUUCUUCUAUGUUGCAAUCGUAGGUCGGAGUUAGAUACAAACACCUAAGGUUAGUGGCAAUUAUUGAGAUUAACUCUUUGGCUCCAUCUCACUUUUAAAUUGCAGUUUUUUCCCAAUAUGUUUUCCAUUGUCGGUCUCCUUUUACAUCUGUGACUUUCUUGAUUUCCCAUGAAUAACAUCGAGAAGAAUUCCUGUAUAAACCCCGACACUGCGUGUUUGAAGGUGGUGUACUGCCAUUGGAGGGAGUGCCACUCCCAGACGCCAUUAUUUUCAGCAAAAUUUUGAGUAAACUAGACUUGGAAUCACUUUGUUCACUGGCUUGCGUUUCCCAGGGUCUCCGUUCAAUUGUUUCUCUCAAGCGCUUUCAACUAUCCGCUCUCUCGAUCUCUCUGGGAUGCUUAGUUAAAAGUGCCUGGAAUAAUAGGCACUUUCACUGAAUGGCAAGAUUCUGGAUUGGAUUGCCCCAAAAUUAUAAGGGCUACAGAGGGUAGCUAUUGAUUGUCUCCGGUUGUAUGAGUCCUCAAUAACCAUCAUUCUUGGGCCGCAUAUCCAAAAAUUGAAUUUGCUCAGGUGUAACUCACUCUCUUAUGCAUUCUUUCAUCUGUUGGUAAAAGGUGCCCCAAUUUAAGGUAUAUUCUUUAUUAGAUUUGGAAUCUUAAAAUAUGUUGUAUCCUAUUAAUCAAAAUGGCAAGUACUCUUGAGUUGUAGCUAGAAAGUUCAUUGCCAUCAAUUUCCAAACUAUCUUGCUGGCCUUUGGUUUGCAAGCAUAAAAAAUAGCAUACACUGAUUUGCAUAGUGAUUGAGAAAGGCUAGGCUAGGCUUAAAAUGCCGAUUUGCCUAGCUUACUUAUCUCUGUUAUAUGUAUAUCAGGAUUCUUGUCCUAGAGUUGGAAGGAGAGACAUCACCUGAAAUUUUCAAGAACCUGGUAGAAAUGUUGAAAAGCAUUCUCUGUUUGGAGGUUGUUGAUUGUCUUUAGAGGUUUAUGUAGCAGGUUGCUGCUCGGGAAUGCCUGUUAUAUUAACAAAGAUGAUUUUGAUCAGUCCAAAGCGAAA